rnacentral:rRNA from 1 species
GAUGAACGCUGGCGGCGUGCCUAAUACAUGCAAGUCGAGCGAACAGACGAGGAGCUUGCUCCUCUGACGUUAGCGGCGGACGGGUGAGUAACACGUGGAUAACCUACCUAUAAGACUGGGAUAACUUCGGGAAACCGGAGCUAAUACCGGAUAAUAUAUUGAACCGCAUGGUUCAAUAAUGAAAGACGGUUUUGCUGUCACUUAUAGAUGGAUCCGCGCCGCAUUAGCUAGUUGGUAAGGUAACGGCUUACCAAGGCGACGAUGCGUAGCCGACCUGAGAGGGUGAUCGGCCACACUGGAACUGAGACACGGUCCAGACUCCUACGGGAGGCAGCAGUAGGGAAUCUUCCGCAAAGGGCGAAAGCCUGACGGAGCAACGCCGCGUGAGUGAUGAAGGUCUUCGGAUCGUAAAACUCUGUUAUUAGGGAAGAACAAAUGUGUAAGUAACUAUGCACGUCUUGACGGUACCUAAUCGGAAAGCCACGGCUAACUACGUG